AAUUCUCAGACAAGGUUCCUUCUGAAUUUUCUGAACCCUUCAUGUGGUUAUCUAUGUGUGGCUUUGCAACAGCAUCUUUCUUAUCCUCAGCAAGUGCUCGACUCUUAUCCUCCAGUUUCUCACCAUCACCACCUGAUUUGAUCUCCUCGAAUUUGUCAUUCCCACCAUUCCCUGAAGAAUUCCAAUCAAAACUAUGACUUUCUACACUAGAAUUAACCGCUUCUUUCACUACCUCACCACCAACCUUAUGUCCUUUGUUAAACCCAGCACUCCACGAUCUCUUAAACUCCUUUCCCCCAACUUUCGCUUGAUCAUAAUAAUACCUUUGUUGUUGCUGCUGUUGCUUCCUUAAUGCCACCUGCUGCAACGCAACAAUCACCUCCCCCACCGAGAAAUACUGCUGCAUAUGCAGCACAGAGUUCCAAUUGCACCUCCUCUGCUGUAUACACCCAAUAACCAUGUCAUAUUCACCUGGUUCCCCAACACAGCGCAGGUGGUGGCAGAUGGAGUCAAUGAUCGCGUUGGCAGCCGCAAACUCCCCCCUCAACCACGAAAUAAACCCGUCACGCUCAUCGAUGGUGAACCAUUGGUGGCGAUGGUGAUGCUGCUGGUGGAUCUCAUUUCCAACUCCCCCGCCGCCACCGCCACCAGCGGGAAACUGCAUUUUAUCUGAUAAGACCACAUUUCCCGGUGGCAUUGCCAUUU
rnacentral:misc_RNA from 1 species